AUGAAUGGAGAUGGUGAGGGCCGGGGAACACAGGGAGAGCACCACCAACCACUCUUGUCUCCACCCCGCCCUUCCCUAGCUCCAGGUCCCACCUCAGCUUCUGCAUCAACUUCACAGACGGUUGAGAUUCCAAGUGCAUCUCCACACCAAGUUCAACUUCACUCAGCUGCCUUGAGUUGGCUGCCUGGAACACCGUGUCAAAGAUUCUGAGGCCGUGUUUGUGCUUUUCAGAAAAGAUUAACCAUAUCUGCCCUGGGAGCUGGAUGGCAUCUGCAUGCUUCACGUCUUCUGACUUAGGGUAUCGUAGAGAAGAGCCACUAGGAGUUCAAAAGCAAACUAACUCUAUUAAACAUAGAAAUAGUGUUGAAACCUAUGUGCCUACUACAAGAGAUACAUUUCCUCCUAAAUUUUUACAUUUCAAAACUUGUGCUAAAAAACAGAUGCAAUAAGAAUUGUAUCUUGAAUUUAACUUGUUUAUUGAUUCAUUCAAGUAUUUUUGUGUGCCUACUAGAAGGGUAGCACCAGGGAUAAAUGAUCGGCAUGACAAAUUGCUUCUGAGCGCCAAGAGUUCACAGUCUAGUACAGGAGACAGGCAAGUAAACAAACCACAAGAGCUGCAGAGCUCUUCAGCAUACAGUUGAGGAUACUGGGGUAGGUGAAAAAUGGCCCCCCAAGAUAUCCACAUCCCAAUCCUUAGAAUCGGUGAAUGUUCCCCUAUAUGGCAAAAGAGGGUCUUUGUGGGUGUGAUUAAGUUAAGGAUCUUGAGAUGGGAGAUUAUCCUGGAUUAUCAGGGUAGGCCCUCAAAACAAUCACAUAUGUCCUUAUAAAAGGGAGCAAGGGUUUGACACAGACAGAAGAUGAUAAGGCAAUGUGAACACUGGGGCAGAGAAUGGAGUGAUGCAACCACAAACCACAAACCAUAAACCAUGGAAUUCUGGCAACCACCAGAAACUGGAAGCUGGAAGAAGCAAGGAACAAAUUCCCCCUUAGGGUCUCUGGAGGAAGCACGGUCUUGCCAAUAUGUAAUUUCAGUCCAGUGAUACUGAGUUCAGAUUUCCAGCCUCUAGCAGUGUUACAGAAUACAUUUGUGUUACUUGAAUCCAUAAUAUUUGCAAUAAUUUGUUACAACAACCAUCAGAAACUAAUACAGAUGCUCUUGAGAGCUCAUGGGAAAGUGGCUCAUAAUCAGGGUUCCUGGGUCAAGUUUGGGAAAUGAUUCCUGCUAAUUUAGACAAAAAGACUCUCUGGAAGGCUAUGGGGAGAGGGACUUCAAUAUGUGGCUCAUGGAUCUAGAAGGGCUGGAAGAGCAAGCUCAGAAGGUGAGAGUGUUAUCAGGGAAGUUUCCGAGACACAUGGCACCAAAAUAUGUUAACGGCAGUAGUUAUCCGUACAGGUCUGCAGCAACCUCAAUUCUUGCCUCCUCAGAAGAAAGAAUUUGAGGGGCAUAAAGCAGAAAGAGAGACCAAGGCAAGUUUUAGAGCAGAAGUUAGUUUAUUAAAACUAAGUUAACUUAUUAGAGCAGUAAUGAAAGGAAGGAAAGCACACUUGGAAGAUGGUCAAGUGGGCAACCUGAGAGACCAAGUGCAUGGCUUUACCGCUUGACUCGGGGUUUUAUAUGUGGACAUACUUCCAGGGUCUUCCAUUACUUCUCCCCACUCCUGAGAUCUUAUUGGGAAGCCACUGAUCACCAGUUUCAGGUGUGUUUUAUCUAUUAGGAGACUGCCUUUCCCUGGUGCCGGCUGUGACCAAUUAUUACUUUAGAGGGACAGCUAACAAUCACCUGAGUAUCACUGAUGGUUGCCCAAUACUCCUUGUGUGUGUUCGGGAAGCCCUCUCCUGCCCUGCUUAUACCUGACUAGCUGCUACUAUACCAGGAAGACCCCAGUAGGCUCCAAACACCAAAUGGAAAGAACAAUUCUUUCAUGAGGCAGUUACCCCUGCCCCUGGUAACAGGAAAUGAAUUCUGGCCAUCUCUUUUAUCUUUGUUUCACUCACUCGUGAUCCAAAAUUCCAAAAAGUAGGGUCAGAUUGGGUGAGACCUAGAUUGUUAGGGGUUGGGAGGGAAAGAAUGUCCCCCCUACAGUUUCCUCAGUGGUACAAGGAGUAAAGGAUCCCACAAAUACUAUUAUAAGACAAUUCUUCCCCAAACUUGAUAGGGUUUUAGAUGUUAACAACAAGAAAUAACAAUAAUAUAACCAGAAAUAACAAAUAUCCAUACCAGAAGACACCUAAUUCUUUUGGGGUGGCUUUUGGAAAAAAUUGAUAUGCAAGCUGGAACCUUAAAAAAAAACAGUGGAAGUCGGCUGUGAGUGUUUUAGGGUUGAAUUAUUUCACAUGCCUGCACCCAAAUAAAGCCCUAAUAUGUUAAUAUCUCAGCUGACUGACCCGCUCAUCAGCCUCAGCUCCCAUUUUCAUGUCUUAUUGUUUUACUCCUGACCACAAAGUGUGAAAUCAUCCAAAGAGACUUGACAAGGAAAAAUAAGAAUAUGGGGUUGAAACCGAAAGAUAUCACAUAUGGGCCCUUCUGGACCUCACUGUUCCUAUGUCCUCAGGGCUUCAACUGGGAAUCCCCCAUAAUCAAGGGCACCGAGAGCAAAAGUGCCAUUGUUGUAAUUAGUGAAAUGUGUAUUAUAUUGCUUAGCAACCCCGCUCUGUUUGUAUGACUAACCCCUUGCCUGAACACAUAAGAGUAUAACUUUGGCUCGCUGGAGAAUAUAACUGAGUCACAACUCUACUUUUAUGAGAUCAGGAAAGAAUAAAACUUUAUUUACCUACCUGGUUGCCUGUGGUUCCUAAAAUGAAGCAGAGCUCUAAGACCUUCAGGUGAGAUGACUCAGAAGCCUAAAGGAGGAUAAUGAGGAUUAAUGGGAACAGCAAGUUUCAAGAAUAGGCUGAAAAUAAAUUCUAUUAUUUUCUUCCAAUGAAGCGGAAAGAUCCAGUCUGAGGGGUCUUUGUCAGCCUGAGCACCAGUAUAAAGUCCAAGAUGGUCAGUAAAGUCAGUAGAAUUAAUUUAGACACAGUCAAUCCCUUGCCAUUGUUCUUAAAUUGAGCCUUUAUGUCUAGAAGUUUCCUGGGAAGAAUGGAAUGCUUAUGCUGUAUGAAUGAGAUUAGAAGCAAAUUUACUAAACAUUUAGCUAAAGCGUACCCAACUAUUUACAGAUAGCCUAUGUUAUUAUGGAUACAAAUGAGUCUAUAAGCAAGCGAUUCCCAUUUAGGCCACUGGAAUCCACCAUCGCUUCAUAACUUCCCCUGACAGGCUGUUCCUCAGAGUCGUGGUCUGUCUCUUCUUUGCCCUAACAUUUCCUUGUCCCACCUCCAGGGGAAGCACAAUCAAGUAAAGGGGUCAAACAACCUAUCACUUGGCAGUUGUGUGCCAUUAGCAACUCUCAGAGUCCCAGAUUCCGGAUCAAUAAUUUGCACAAAAUAAUGGUACUUCAGAGGGUUGUUCUUGAAAUUUAUCAGAUACUGUGAGAUACUAUCACUGCCUGGCACAUAAGAAACACUCAGUCGAUGGGGGGCGGAGCAAGAUGGCCGAAUAGGAACAGCUCCAGUCUCCAACUCCCAGCGCGAGCGACACAGAAGACCGGUGAUUUCUGCAUUUUCAACUGAGGUACUGGGUUCAUCUCACUGGGGAGUGCCGGACGAUCGGUGCUGGUCAGCUGCUGCAGCCCGACCAGCGAGAGCUGAAGCAGGGCGAGGCAUCGCCUCACCUGGGAAGCGCAAGGGGGAAGGGAAUCCCUUUUCCUAGCCAGGGGAACUGAGACACACAACACCUGGAAAAUCGGGUAACUCCCACCCCAAUAUUGCGCUUUAAGCAAACAGGCACACCAGGAGAUCAUAUCCCACACCUGGCCGGGAGGGUCCCACGCCCACGGAGCCUCCCUCAUUGCUAGCACAGCAGUCUGUGAUCUACCGGCAAGGCAGCAGCGAGGCUGGGGGAGGGGUGCCCGCCAUUGCUGAGGCUUAAGUAGGUAAACAAAGCUGCUGGGAAGCUCGAACUGGGUGGAGCUCACAGCAGCUCAAGGAAACCUGCCUGUCUCUGUAGACUCCACCUCUGGGGACAGGGCACAGCUACACAACAACAACAACAACAACAACAACAAAGCAGCAGAAACCUCUGCAGACGCAAACGACUCUGUCUGACAGCUUUGAAGAGAGCAGUGGAUCCCCCAACACGGAGGUUGAGAUCUGAGAAGGGACAGACUGCCUGCUCAAGUGGGUCCCUGACCCCUGAGUAGCCUGACUGGGAGACAUCCCCCACUAGGGGCAGUCUGACACCCCACACCUCACAGGGUGGAGUACACCCCUGAGAGGAAGCUUCCAAAGCAAGAAUCAGACAGGUACACUUGCUGUUCAGAAAUAUUCUAUCUUCUGCAGCCUCUGCUGCUGAUACCCAGGCAAACAGGGUCUGGAGUGGACCUCAAGCAAUCUCCAACAGACCUACAGCUGAGGGUCCUGACUGUUAGAAGGAAAACUAUCAAACAGGAAGGACACCUACACCAAAACCCCAUCAGUACAUCACCAUCAUCAAAGACCAG
ensembl:lncRNA